rnacentral:rRNA from 1 species
AUUGAACGCUGGCGGCAGGCCUAACACAUGCAAGUCGAGCGAGCGGCGGACGGGUGAGUAAUGCCUGGGCAUAUGCCUUAGCGUGGGGGAUAACUAUUGGAAACGAUAGCUAAUACCGCAUACGCUAAGAUUAACCCAGGUGAGAUUAGCUAGGUGGUGAGGUAAGAGCUCACCAAGGCGACGAUCUAUAGCUGGUCUGAGAGGAUGAUCAGCCACACUGGAACGGAGACACGGUCCAGACUCCGACGGGAGGCAGCAGUGGGGAAUAUUGCACAAUGGGCGAAAGCCUGAUGCAGCCAUGCAGCGUGUAUGAAGAAGGCCUGCGGGUUGUAAAGUACUUUCAGUAGGGAGGCGUUACCUACAGAAGAAGCACCGGCUAACUCCGUGCCAGCAGCCGCGGUAAUUC